rnacentral:rRNA from 1 species
CAGCCGUAAACUAUGCGCGUUAGGUGUACUGGUGACCACGAGUCACCGGGGUGCCGAAGGGAAACCGUGAAACGUGCCGCCUGGGAAGUACGGUCGCAAGGCUGAAACUUAAAGGAAUUGGCGGAGGAGCACCACAACGGGUGGAGCCUGCGGUUUAAUUGGACUCAACGCCGGAAAUCUCACCGGAUAGGACAGACAUAUGAUAGUCGGGCUGAAGACUCUACUUGAUGAUCUGAGAGGUGGUGCAUGGCGUCAGUGACU